rnacentral:rRNA from 1 species
GCAGUCGAGCGGUAGAACUAGCUUCGGUUGGUUUGAGAGCGGCGCACGGGUGAGUAACGCGUACGUAACCUGCCCUUCAGUGGGGAAUAGCCCCGGGAAACUGGGAUUAAUGCCCCAUGGUACUUUCGAUCUGCCUGGAUUGGAAGUUAAAGCUUCGGCGCUGAAGGAUGGACGUGCGUCUGAUUAGCUAGUUGGUGAGGUAACGGCUCACCAAGGCGACGAUCAGUAGGGGGCGUGAGAGCGUGACCCCCCACACGGGUACUGAGACACGGACCCGACUCCUACGGGAGGCAGCAGUAAGGAAUAUUGGGCAAUGGAGGCAACUCUGACCCAGCCAUCCCGCGUGCAGGAAGACGGCCCUACGGGUUGUAAACUGCUUUUAUGAAGGAAGAAAGGUUGGCAUUUAUGCUGAUUUGACGGUACUUCAGGAAUAAGCACCGGCUAACUCCGUGCCAGCAGCCGCGGUAAUACGGAGGGUGCGAGCGUUAUUCGGAAUCACUGGGCUUAAAGGGUGCGUAGGCGGGUUUGAAGGUCUGAUGUGAAAGCCCACGGCUCAACCGUGGAAUUGCGUUGGAAACCACAAGCCUUGAGGGAGUCAGAGGUGAGCGGAACUCACGGUGGAGCGGUGAAAUGCGUUGAUAUCGUGAGGAACACCGGUGGCGAAAGCGGCUCACUGGGACUCUUCUGACGCUGAGGCACGAAAGCCAGGGGAGCGAACGGGAUUAGAUACCCUGGUA